GACGAACGCUGGCGGCGUGCCUAACACAUGCAAGUCGAACGUAGAUACUGAAUUUCGGUUUGGUAUCUUAGUGGCGCACGGGUGAGUAACGCGUGAACAACUUGACCUUUAGAGGGGGAUAACAGCGAGAAAUCGGUGCUAAUACCGCAUGAGACCACAAUUCCACAUGGAGAAGGGGUCAAAGGAGCAAUCCGCUGAGGGAGAGGUUCGCGUCCCAUUAGGUAGUUGGCGGGAAAAAUACAGCCCCACCAAGCCGACGAUGGGUAGCCGAGCUGAGAGGCUGAUCGGCCACACUGGAACUGAGACACGGUCCAGACUCC
rnacentral:rRNA from 1 species